GGAGAAAGGGUGGCCUCGUGACCCCUAUUCUACAGAGUCUCCUCCCACGGCUGCCCAGCUCCCUGGCAGACUAUCUUGCCUCUACAUCACCAGCAGUAGUGGGCGGCUACAGGGCAGAGCUGUCCCGGGACCUCCUCACUGCCUCCAGAGUCAAGGAACGCCUCCUCAGGGAAGUCCUCCACCUCAUCACUGACCUGUGAGUCACGGAGCUCCCGGGCACCAUGCUGGCCACAAAUGCCUAAGGAGCCACCCCCGGAAGCAACUGUGGGUCCCGCAGGCUAGUAGACACCUUCGGGGCCUGAGGGACUUGUACUUCAAUCCAAUGCUCUCCUCACUCUCACAAGAUUUUACAGACGUGGAAACCGAGGCCCCAAGGGGUAAUCGGCCCGCGUUCCCAUGCCAAUAACCGGCGGUGGCGGGACCCACACCUACCCUGUGACCCGCAGGCCCAGGGGUCGAGCCCCAGGUAGAACGCCUACACCGACUCCGCCCUCGGCGCAGCACGGGGAACCUUAACCCGGACACAGAGGCGUAAGCGGAAGUGCUGCCGAGCCGUAGCUAUGGAGACACGGGGGGCGGGCCGCCCGGAGAGCGCGACCUUUGACCUGCAGUCGAGCCUACGUCAGAGGCUGGCGCAAACAGAAGUGCAGCGGUGGCGGCGGCUGGUUGCGGGCCAGCGGCAGGCAGGCGGCGAUGGAGGAUCCUGUUCAAGAUGGGGUGGCUUCACCAGCUACCCCUGGGACCGGGAAAUCUAAGCUGGAAACAUUGCCCAAAGAAGACCUCAUCAAGUUUGCCAAGAAACAGAUGAUGCUAAUACAGAAAGCUAAGUCAAGGUGUACAGAAUUGGAGAAAGAAAUUGAAGAACUCAAAUCAAAACCUGUUACUGAAGGAACUGAUGAUAUUAUUAAGGCAUUAACUGAACGUCUGGAUGCUAUUCUUCUGGAAAAAGCAGAGACUGAGCAACAGUGUCUUUCUCUGAGAAAGGAAAAUAAAAAAAUGAAGCAAGAGGUUGAGGAUUCUGUAACUAAGAUGGAAGAUGCACAUAAGGAGUUGGAACAAUCACAUAUAAACUAUGUGAAAGAAAUUGAAAAUUUGAAAAAUGAAUUGAUGGCAGUACGUGCCAAAUACAGUGAAGACAAAGCUAACUUACAAAAGGAACUGGAAGAAGCAGUGAAUAAGCAAUUAGAGCUCUCAGAACAACUUAAGUUUCAGAACAACUCUGAAGAUAAUGUUAAAAAACUACAAGAAGAGAUUGAGAAAAUUAGGCCAGCCUUUGAGGAGCAAAUUUUAUAUCUGCAAAAGCAAUUAGACGCUACCACUGAUGAAAAGAAGGAAACAGUUACUCAACUCCAAAAUAUCAUUGAGGCUAAUUCUCAGCAUUACCAAAAAAAUAUUAAUAGUUUGCAGGAGGAACUUUUACAGUUGAAAGCUAUACACCAAGAAGAGGUGAAAGAAUUAAUGUGCCAGAUUGAAGCAUCAGCUAAGGAACAUGAAACAGAGAUAAAUAAGUUGAAUGAGCUGAAAGAGAACUUAGUAAAACAAUGUGAGGCAAGUGAAAAGAACAUCCAGGAGAAAUAUGAAUGUGAGUUAGAAAAUUUAAGGAAAGCCACCUCAAAUGCAAACCAAGACAAUCAGAUGUGUUCUCUUCUCUUCCAAGAAAAUACAUUUGUAGAACAAGUAGUAAAUGAAAAAGUCAAACACUUAGAAGAUACCUUAAAAGAACUUGAAUCUCAACAUAGUAUCUUAAAAGAUGAGGUAACUUAUAUGAAUAAUCUUAAGUUAAAACUUGAAAUGGAUGCUCAACAUAUAAAGGAUGAGUUUUUUCAUGAACGGGAAGACUUAGAGUUUAAAAUUAAUGAAUUAUUACUAGCUAAAGAAGAACAGGGCUGUGUAAUUGAAAAAUUAAAAUCUGAGCUAGCAGGUUUAAAUAAACAGUUUUGCUGUACUGUAGAACAGCAUAACAAAGAAGUACAGAGCCUUAAGGAACAACAUCAAAAAGAAAUAUCAGAGCUAAAUGAGACAUUUUUGUCAGAUUCAGAAAAAGAAAAAUUAACAUUAAUGUUUGAAAUACAGGGUCUUAAGGAACAGUGUGACAACCUACAGCAAGAAAAGCAAGAAGCAAUUUUAAAUUAUGAGAGUUUACGAGAGAUUAUGGAAAUUUUACAAACAGAACUGGGGGAAUCUGCUGGAAAAAUAAGUCAAGAAUUUGAAUCAAUGAAGCAACAGCAAGCAUCUGAUGUUCAUGAACUGCAGCAGAAGCUCAGAACUGCCUUUACUGAGAAAGAUGCUCUUCUCGAAACUGUGAAUCACCUCCAGGGAGAAAAUGAAAAGUUACUAUCUCAACAAGAAUUGGUACCAGAACUUGAAAAUACCAUAAAGAACCUUGAAGAAAAGAAUGGAGUAUACUUACUUAGUCUCAGUCAAAGAGAUACCAUGUUAAAAGAAUUAGAAGCAAAGAUAAAUUCUCUUACUGAGGAAAAAGAUGAUUUUAUAAAUAAACUGAAAAAUUCCUAUGAAGAAAUGGAUAAUUUCCAUAAGAAAUGUGAGAGGGAAGAAAGAUUGAUUCUUGAACUUGGGAAGAAAGUAGAGCAGACAACCCAGUACAACAGUGAACUAGAACAAAAGGUAAAUGAAUUAACAGGAGGAUUAGAGGAGACUUUAAAAGAAAAGGAUCAAAAUGACCAAAAACUAGAAAAACUUAUGGUUCAAAUGAAAGUUCUCUCUGAAGACAAAGAAGUAUUGUCAGCUGAAGUGAAGUCUCUCUAUGAGGAAAACAAUAAACUCAGUUCAGAAAAAAAACAGUUGAGUAGGGAUUUGGAAGUUUUUUUGUCUCAAAAAGAUGAUGUUAUCCUUAAAGAACAUAUUACUGAAUUAGAAAAGAAACUUCAGUUAAUGGUUGAAGAGCGAGAUAAUUUAAAUAAACUGCUUGAAAAUGAGCAAGUUCAGAAGUUAUUUGUCAAAACUCAGUUGUGUGGUUUUCUUAAAGAUAUAGGGUCUGAAGUUUCAGAAGACGGUGAAGAGAAAGAUGUUGUUAAUAUCCUACAGGCAGUCGGUGAAUCCUUGGCAAAAAUAAAUGAGGAAAAAUGCAACCUGGUUUUUCAGUGUGAUAAAAAGGUAUUCGAGUUAGAAAAAGAGAUUAAGUGCCUUCAAGAAGAGAGUGUAGUUCAGUGUGAAGAACUUAAGUCUUUAUUGAGAGACUAUGAGCAAGAGAAAGUUCUCUUAAGGAAAGAGUUAGAAGAAAUCCAGUCAGAAAAAGAGGCCCUGCAAUCUGAUCUUCUAGAAAUGAAGAAUGCUAAUGAAAAAACAAGGCUUGAAAAUCAGAAUCUUCUAAUUCAAGUUGAAGAAGUAUCUCAAACAUGUAACAAAAAUGAAGUCCGUAAUGAAAAAGAAAAAUGUUCUAUAAAGGAACAUGAAAACCUAAAGCCGUUACUAGAACAAAAAGAAUCAGAAUUACGAGAUACGAGAGCAGAGUUGAUACUAUUAAAGGAUUCCUUAGCGAAAUCACCUUCUGUACAAAAUGAUCCUCUGUCUUCAGUAAAAGAGUUGGAAGAAAAAUUAGAAAAUCUGGAAAAAGAAAGCAAAGAAAAGGAGGAGAAAAUAAAUAAGAUAAAAUUAGUUGCCGUGAAGGCAAAGAAAGAACUAGAUUCCAGCAGAAAAGAGACCCAGACUGUAAGGGAAGAACUUGAAUCUCUUCGGUCAGAAAAGGACCAGUUAUCUGCUUCCAUGAGAGAUCUCAUUCAAGCAGCAGAAAGCUAUAAGAAUCUUUUAUUAGAAUAUGAAAAGCAGUCAGAGCAACUGGAUGUGGAAAAAGAACGUGCUAACAAUUUUGAGCAUCAUGUUGAAGACCUUACAAGACAACUAAGAAAUUCGACUUUACAGUGUGAAAAAAUAAAUUCUGAUAAUGAAGAUCUGCUGGCUCGUAUUGAGACACUACAGUCUAAUGCCAAAUUAUUAGAAGUACAGAUUUUAGAAGUCCAGAGAGCCAAAGCAAUGGUAGACAAAGAAUUAGAAGCUGAAAAACUUCAGAAAGAACAGAAGAUAAAGGAACAUGCCACUACUGUAAAUGAACUUGAAGAACUUCAGGUACAACUUCAAAAGGAAAAGAAACAGCUUCAGAAAACCAUGCAAGAAUUAGAGCUGGUUAAAAAGGAUGCCCAACAAACCACAUUGAUGAAUAUGGAAAUAGCUGAUUAUGAACGUUUGAUGAAAGAACUAAAUCAAAAGUUAAGUAAUAAAAACAACAAGAUAGAAGAUUUGGAGCAAGAAAUAAAAAUUCAAAAACAGAAACAAGAAACCCUACAAGAAGAAAUAACUUCAUUACAGUCUUCAGUACAACAAUAUGAAGAAAAAAACACCAAAAUCAAGCAAUUGCUUGUGAAAACCAAAAAGGAACUGGCAGAUUCAAAGCAAGCAGAAACUGAUCACUUAAUACUUCAAGCAUCUUUAAAAGGUGAGCUGGAGGCAAGCCAGCAGCAAGUAGAAGUCUAUAAAAUACAGCUGGCUGAAAUAACAUCAGAGAAACACAAAAUCCACGAGCACCUGAAAACCUCUGCAGAACAGCACCAGCGUACGCUAAGUGCGUACCAGCAGAGAGUGACAGCGCUACAGGAAGAGAGUCGUGCCGCCAAGGCAGAACAAGCUACUGUAACCUCUGAAUUCGAGAGCUACAAAGUCCGAGUUCAUAACGUUCUAAAACAACAGAAAAAUAAAUCUAUGUCUCAGGCUGAAACUGAGGGCGCUAAACAAGAAAGGGAACAUCUGGAAAUGCUGAUUGACCAACUAAAAAUCAAAUUACAAGAUAGCCAAAAUAACUUACAGAUGAAUGUAUCUGAACUUCAAACAUUGCAGUCUGAACAUGAUACACUGCUAGAAAGGCACAACAAGAUGCUUCAGGAAACUGUGUCCAAAGAGGCGGAACUCCGGGAAAAAUUGUGUUCCAUACAAUCAGAGAACAUGAUGAUGAAGUCUGAGCAUACACAGACUGUGAGUCAGCUAACAUCCCAGAAUGAGGUCCUUCGAAAUAGCUUCCGAGAUCAAGUGCGACAUUUGCAGGAAGAGCACAGAAAGACAGUGGAGACAUUACAGCAGCAGCUCUCCAGGGUGGAAGCACAGCUCUUCCAGCUUAAGAAUGAACCGACCACAAGAAGUAUGCCCAGUUUCCUCUCAACAAUCUUCGAAGAACCUUCGAGAAAGGAGAAACACAGACCUCCCACUUCUAGACAUGCACACUGUAACCCGGGAAGAGGGAGAAGGCAUGGAGACAACUGAUACUGAGUCCGUGUCUUCCGCCAGCACAUAUACACAGUCUUUAGAGCAGCUGCUUAAUUCUCCCGAAACUAAACUUGAGCCUCCAUUAUGGCAUGCCGAAUUUACCAAAGAAGAAUUGGUUCAGAAACUCAGUUCCACCACAAAAAGUGCAGAUCACUUAAACGGCCUGCUUCGGGAAACAGAAGCAACCAAUGCAAUCCUCAUGGAGCAAAUUAAGCUUCUCAAAAGUGAAAUAAGAAGAUUAGAAAGGAAUCAAGAGCGAGAGAAGUCUGCAGCUAACCUGGAAUACUUGAAGAAUGUCUUGCUACAGUUCAUUUUCCUGAAACCAGGUAGUGAAAGAGAAAGACUUCUUCCUGUUAUAAAUACAAUGUUGCAGCUCAGCCCUGAAGAAAAGGGAAAACUUGCUGCGAUUGCUCAAGGUGAGGAAGAAAAUGCUUCCCGUUCUUCUGGAUGGGCAUCCUAUCUUCAUAGUUGGUCUGGACUUCGAUAGAUUGAUGGAAGGAGUAUUUUUAUUAACCAAAUAGAAUCUAUUUACAAAAAUGGUUCAUGUAUAUUACCAUUAUCCUUUUGUCCAAAAGUGUGUAUAUAUGUUUGCAUCUACAUAUAUUUGUACAUCUAUAUGACAGAUGUAUUUUAAAAGUUUCAACUUGAAGUAAAAGUACAACAGCUUGAAGUGUUGAUACCAGGCGACAGCCCCUAACUCAUGUGAUCUCCCGUGCAUGCUGCCAGAAUCAAACCACCAGGAAUGAAUUCACUCCCCACUUCUCUGGAACCUCAGGACCCAUUGCUCGGCAGUACUGUGAAUUUUGAAGUUAAACUAAAUUUUGGUACCAUACCAACUGAAAUUUAGGCUUUAAAAAUAAUGUUUCAAGGCCAUGUGUGGUGAUUCAGGCCUGUAAUCCCAGCACUUUGGGAGGCUGAGGCUGGAGAAUCACUUGAGGCUAGUGAGCUGUGAUCGUACCACUGCACUCCAGCUCGGGGAACAGAGCGAGCGAGACCUUGUCUCUAAAAAUAAUAAUAGUAAUAAAAUAAAAAUAAUGUUUUAUGACUAUUUAUUGCAAGGUCAGAUUUGUAGAUUGUUACUAGUUAUAAAUUGUUGAGAAAUUUUUGUGAUUAGAAUAUGAAGGAAAAAGCUUUAUUGGUAAAAGUGACAUGUUUAUUAAGGGGCUAUGAAGUAAAUAUGCUGCAGUUAAUUAUGCGAAGUUGAAAUAUAAUUUAGUUACUUUAAAAUAAACUGUUCUUUUUUUCUUUAAAGUAUAUUCUCUCAAAACUCACGAUGUUGUCAGAGCCCUAGAGCUGGCUAGUGUAACACUGACUCUGAAUAGGCGGGCCCACCCCCGAGUUGAGGUGGUUUCAUGCUGUCUCUCCAGGCUCUUGGUAUGGUGUCGCUACAUGCAAGCCAUGAAUCCGUUUUGAGAAUCCUCUCCAUUUUCCCAAAUAAAAACCUAUCACAACAGUGACUAUAUCACUCAGCGUUGUAUCUAAGUAUAAAACUGGUGCUUUCAGUGUUGUGGCAGAUAGUGUUCCGUAAGCUUUCCAUCAGCUUUCCAUCAGAAGGGAUUUUAGAAAGACACCUUGGAGGUCCGUGCUACAUCUUCACAGUUCCUCUGAAUAAACUUAGGUGGUAGCAUUACUUGCCUUUGACGCCUCUGCAUAUGUUUUAAUGACUAGAUCAAAAUUGUGGUGUUCUUCAAUCAAAAAUUUGAUAAUUCUAUUUUUAAUAUUUAUGUGUUAAUCACCACACAGUAUGCUCUCUGAAGUUCUCUUAAGCCUUCAGUUUAUACUCUUAAUUCUCAUUCUGAGCUGGAGAACUGACUUUGCACUUUGGUUAUGCAGAACAUUGGUUUCCAAUUUAGUUUAACUGAAAUUUGCUGCUGAUAUGUUGAGUUUGUUCUCUAAAUAAUAUCUCAUAUAUCUGUCUUUCCUCCUGUCUUAGAAGAACAGACCUAACUAGUGAAUGUAUUAAUGAAAAUGCAUCUAUUUCAGAGCUGACAUGAAGAGUUUAGUUUUUUUACUUUAUAAACUGUGAAUUUGAGUAUGCCACCUGCCUACAAUGUAACUAAUCAUAUUUAAAUAUAUUUUACUUUCUCUUUGACUUUAGACCUUUUGAAGUCUGUAUAAACUUGUUUUAAAAUAUAGUCUCUACUUAUGAAUGUCAUAACAAAAAUACCUUUUUGCAUGAUAAAAAAUUAUUACUUUGAUUACAAAAGGCCUAUUCUUUCAUGGUUUCCGCAAUGAGAGGAAGUGUAAUGAUUAUUUUAAUAUUUCUAUUAAAUAUGUUUAACU